GGAGGGGUGCGAGAGUGGACUAAUCGGCUGGUCUUGAAAACCAUGCUCUGCUUACGUGGAACGUGGGUUCGAAUCCCACCCCCUCCG
rnacentral:tRNA from 1 species